GGUGAGGAACAUGAGGCGUUAAAGACGAAAUAUCAAGAAGAAUGCCAUGUUUUGAAGUACAUAUGUCAAUUAGAGUUCACAGAGAAAAGGCGACAUUGGUAAUUUAUUGUUUCCACUGUUGUUUUUUUUUUGCUGCACAUUGCUUCUGAUACUAUGUGAAAUCACUGGUGAUGAAUAUGGAAAUAGCAAGAUGGUGAUUGUAGCAACACCAACUAAGGCCUCCAGAGUGUAUGAAGUUUACAAACUUUGGUUGCUUGGUUCCUCCUUGACGGUGAAAGGGAGGGCGAGGAGAAGGAACACUAACUACUGGUAGCGACUAGGAAGUAAGCACGCAGAUGGUGACCUGUUGAGGGUGGAACAAACGUUUGGUAGGUCCUGCACGUGUCCUGUUGAGGGUGGUGUAAAUCGAAGCGAUUGUUGAUGAAAGUGAAAAGUGCUGUCUUCCUCCAGUCAAACAAGAUCAAUUUGAAGGUUGUAUAAAUUAAAAAUGAACAAACGUUUGGUAGGUCCUGCACGUGUCCUGGUGUAAAUCGAAGCGAUUGGUGAUGAAAGUGAAAAGUUCUGUCUUCCUCCAGUCAAACAAGAAGAUCAAUUUGAAGGUUGUAUAAAUUAAAAAUGAACUUCGGGUGACCUUCAAUCCUUCAUCCUGUUUGAGCAAGGAGUGUAUUAUACUUUGGAUCAUUGGGGAACAAAUUUUAGGGGUUUGCUCAUGUUGUUGGCUGGGAAAUCUGGUAUUGAAUUCCAAGAGUUUGUUGAGGUGUCAAACCCUCCUCAAUAGAUGGGGUUGGAAAUCUAGAAGUAAGAUUUUCAUUCUCUUAAUUCAGUUUAGUCUAUUAUAUAUCUUCUAUGACAUUCAUAUUUUAGACCCUGUAAGAUGUGUCAAGAUGUCAUUUUUAUUAUGGGCCAUAACAGGCUUCAGGACACGUGAACACUUUUUUGGACAGUUUUUAUUGUUUUUUUUAGAUUAAUGUGUUACUUAUGAUCAAGAAGCUAAGAUGAAAAGUUAUGGUUCAGAUUUUAAGUUUAAGGGAUUGAUAUCUUUGGACAUAAGGAAGAGCUACCUAGAACGGAUAUGGAAAUUGGCGAUUCCCCAUAACUACAAAGAGAAAUGCAGAGAGUCUGGACUAAAAACA